AAAAAAGCAACAAAAAGCAGAGCUUUCUCUUCUCUAUAUAAACGAUCUCAAGGGCUUCUGCAUAUCCUCAUGCUAAGCCCUGCCCUUACAUUCUUCAGUUCUUGGAUCCAAAUCACGGUUCUCUUCUUCUGUUAAGUCUGUUAGUUGUGUUUUUCAAUCUUUCAAAAUUUCAAACAUGAAGAACAAAGCUUUCUUCAUCUUGAAGUUGAAGAGGAUGGUUUCAUUGCUGAGCUGCAUUCCAAAGGCCAGGACCAUGGCUAUCAAGAGCAAAACCAGCGCAAUCAAGGCUCGUUUGAUCAUGUUCUCUUUGGUGAAGUGCAAAAAGGUUUUGUUGAGUUCAAUAUCUAACAAAAUUCAUAACAUUCUUGGCCAGAGCGACAGGGAGAGCCAAGAUGACAAUGAGGACCAAAGCAAGGCUAUUGUUCUUUACAAUAAUGCCUUGGCCGAAGAAUCGCAUUCGAGUUGCAUCCAGUUAGCAGACGAGAUCGAUGAUGUUAAUGAUGAUGAUAAGUACCCUGACCUCACGCACUCGCUAUUUGAUGAAGAAGAUUUCAAUGACCCAGGAGGUUCCAUCAUCGAUUUGGUGAAGAAUUCCAAAGAGGAAGGAGAAGAUUUCAGCUUGGAAGAUGAAAUUGAUCAUGUUGCGGACUUGUUCAUUAUGAGAUUUCACAAGCAGAUACGUUUGCAGAAGCUGGAAUCAUUCAAGAGGUUUCAAGAGAUGCUUGAAAGAAGCCUUUAAUUGCU
rnacentral:misc_RNA from 1 species